CAUCACCGCGCCGCCACUCCACCUGGUCUCUCCUUCCAGCUCGGGAUCUUCCCAGAUCCAAAUCCUCCCGCAGCCAACCAUCUCCCUCCUAGUGUUCAGCCACGACCGAACCAGUAGGCCCCGCUCCCCCAUCGCACUCAUGGUGUCGUGCAUGUGUCCCUCGAGCCGGAGCUCGCCCACAAGCAGAACCGCCGCCACUCAUCCGGUGCAUCCCGGCGACCCACAGGACCAGGACCUCUGCCCUCGCGCUCCUUCUCCCACCGGCACCUUGUCCUGCUUCUCUCGUUCCCUUCCUCCUCUCUUUUUUUCCUUGGCCCAUGCCUGGCCUGACUCUCUCCCCGUCGCCCACAGGAACCCGUCGGAGAGCACCUCGACCAUGCGGGACCGCAGGAGCGCCGGCCACCGUGGUCCGCGGGUUGCACCGCACCUCUGCUUCGAGCUUUGAUCCGCGCCUCCCCUUCCCGGAUCUGAACUCAGGUGUCUCCCCGCGCUCCGUUCCACCCGUUCCGGCCGGCUUCCGUCGACCCCGUCACCGAAACCCCACUGCAUCGUCUUCUGCAUCGCCAGACACCUGCUGCUGUUUCAGUUCUUAAGGAACGAGAGUAGCAGCGCCUCGUCCUCACAUCGUCUUCGCCCCCGGAGUAACCCACGUCACCGUCUUCGCUACUCGUGGGCCUCCCCUGCCCGACGCCAUGGAUGGCCGCCGCCCCGUUGCUCCGAGACCCAGUCGCCUGGCGCCGCCAUGUUUCCCUACCUCGCCUGCAAGUCCCUGGCGCUGCAUCCCCUACUUCCUUCGAGAGAUGUGGACAACUGCGUUGACCCUUCCACGAUCGAAGUAAGCAGGCCGGGCCAGUGCGCCCCUGCUGGCCUCACCUCACCACUGGACCGGGCCGAAGCCCGUGUGUUGCUUCUUCGGGUUGGUUCCGAUAACGUCGUGUUGUGAGGAUUCG